rnacentral:rRNA from 1 species
GACGAACGCUGGCGGCGUGCUUAACACAUGCAAGUCGAACGGAAAGGCCCUGCUUUUGUGGGGUGCUCGAGUGGCGAACGGGUGAGUAACACGUGAGUAACCUGCCCUUGACUUUGGAUAACCUCAGGAAACUGGGGCUUAUACCGGAUAGGAGCUCCUGCUGCAUGGUGGGGGUUGGAAAGUUUCGGCGGUUGGGGAUGGACUCGCGGCUUAUCAGCUUGUUGGUGGGGUAGUGGCUUACCAAGGCUUUGACGGGUAGCCGGCCUGAGAGGGUGACCGGCCACAUUGGGACUGAGAUACGGCCCAGACUCCUACGGGAGGCAGCAGUGGGGAAUAUUGCACAAUGGGCGGAAGCCUGAUGCAGCAACGCCGCGUGCGGGAUGACGGCCUUCGGGUUGUAAACCGCUUUCGCCUGUGACGAAGCGUGAGUGACGGUAAUGGGUAAAGAAGCACCGGCUAACUACGUG